rnacentral:rRNA from 1 species
UACGAAGGGGGCUAGCGUUGUUCGGAAUUACUGGGCGUAAAGCGCGCGCAGGCGGUUUUUCAAGUCAGUGGUGAAAGCCCGGAGCUCAACUCCGGAACUGCCAUUGAAACUGUUAAACUUGAGGAUGAGAGAGGUGAGUGGAAUUCCCAGUGUAGAGGUGAAAUUCGUAGAUAUUGGGAAGAACACCGGUGGCGAAGGCGGCUCACUGGCUCAUUUCUGACGCUCAGGCGCGACAGCGUGGGGAGCAAACCGG